UAAUGCAGUCGAGCGAAUGGAUUAAGAGCUUGCUCUUAUGAAGUUAGCGGCGGACGGGUGAGUAACACGUGGGUAACCUGCCCAUAAGACUGGGAUAACUCCGGGAAACCGGGGCUAAUACCGGAUAACAUUUUGAACCGCAUGGUUCGAAAUUGAAAGGCGGCUUCGGCUGUCACUUAUGGAUGGACCCGCGUCGCAUUAGCUAGUUGGUGAGGUAACGGCUCACCAAGGCAACGAUGCGUAGCCGACCUGAGAGGGUGAUCGGCCACACUGGGACUGAGACACGGCCCAGACUCCUACGGGAGGCAGCAGUAGGGAAUCUUCCGCAAUGGACGAAAGUCUGACGGAGCAACGCCGCGUGAGUGAUGAAGGCUUUCGGGUCGUAAAACUCUGUUGUUAGGGAAGAACAAGUGCUAGUUGAAUAAGCUGGCACCUUGACGGUACCUAACCAGAAAGCCACGGCUAACUACGUGCCAGCAGCCGCGGUAAUACGUAGGUGGCAAGCGUUAUCCGGAAUUAUUGGGCGUAAAGCGCGCGCAGGUGGUUUCUUAAGUCUGAUGUGAAAGCCCACGGCUCAACCGUGGAGGGUCAUUGGAAACUGGGAGACUUGAGUGCAGAAGAGGAAAGUGGAAUUCCAUGUGUAGCGGUGAAAUGCGUAGAGAUAUGGAGGAACACCAGUGGCGAAGGCGACUUUCUGGUCUGUAACUGACACUGAGGCGCGAAAGCGUGGGGGAGCAAACAGGAUUAGAUACCCUGGUAGUCCACGUCCGUAAACGAUGAGUGCUAAUUGUUAAAAGGGUUUCCGCCCCUUUAAUUGCUU
rnacentral:rRNA from 1 species